rnacentral:rRNA from 1 species
CCUACGGGUGGCUGCAGUGAGGAAUAUUGGUCAAUGGGCGCGAGCCUGAACCAGCCAAGUAGCGUGAAGGAUGACUGCCCUACGGGUUGUAAACUUCUUUUAUCAAGGAAUAACGUGACGCACGUGUGCCUUUUGGAAUGUACUUUAUGAAUAAGGAUCGGCUAACUCCGUGCCAGCAGCCGCGGUAAUACGGAGGAUCCGAGCGUUAUCCGGAUUUAUUGGGGUUAAAGGGAGAGUAGGUGGGUCGUUAAGUCAGUCGUGAAAGUUAGGGGCGUAACCGUAAAAUUGCAAUUGAGACUGGCUGCCUUGAGUGCACGAGAGGUACGCGGAAUGCGUGGUGUAGCGGUGAAAUGCUUAGAUAUCACGAAGAACUCCGAUUGCGAAGGCAGCGUACUAACCUGCCACUGACACUGAAGCUCGAAAGUGUGGGUAUCGAACAGGAUUAGAUACCCGAGUAGUC